rnacentral:rRNA from 1 species
UACGUAGGUGGCAAGCGUUGUCCGGAAUUAUUGGGCGUAAAGCGCGCGCAGGCGGUCCUUUAAGUCUGAUGUGAAAUCUCGCGGCUCAACCGCGAGCGGUCAUUGGAAACUGGGGGACUUGAGUACAGAAGAGGAAAGCGGAAUUCCACGUGUAGCGGUGAAAUGCGUAGAGAUGUGGAGGAACACCAGUGGCGAAGGCGGCUUUCUGGUCUGUAACUGACGCUGAGGCGCGAAAGCGUGGGGAGCAAACAGG